rnacentral:lncRNA from 1 species
UUUUUUUUUUUUUCUGUAUUCUGCUUUAAUUCCACAGUGGUGAGAAAAAUCCCAAUUUACCCCAAAAAAGUAAUGCAUUUUACCCAGAAAAGUAAUGCAUUCUUGCUCAGCCAACUUGACCGUCCCCUAUAAAAGUUGGGCAUGAAUUUUUACCAAAAUGUGGAAGACAGCCUUCCUAGUCAAUGGUACAUUUACAAGACAGUCAAAUAUCUGCACAGAGUAAGUAAGAAAAUCGUCACUACGGGGCUUGCACGGAGCCCAGGUCAUCUGGCAGUUCAUGAGCCAUAUGAGGAAGACACAAGCAAAUGACCAUGCCUGGCAGUUGGAGCAACAGACACUGUUGAUGUUAGGGACAGAGAAGCCUUUCCCUCAUGGGAAAGCCUGGGACCUUUGCUCUCCACUUCCUCCUCCUCUCGACCUUGGAACCUGUAAGAUUUUUAAGUUUUGCCACUGAGUAGGCAAAGCUGGGAUGGCCCAACACCACUGAAGAUUUUGUUUCUUGUUUGUGAUGGAAGGGACAAUGAGGAUGCAUUUGAGAUGAGCCUGGAAGGAGGGGAUGAAUUUAAACAGCCAAAUGGAGGAAGAGGAGCCUUCUGGGAGAGGCAGUGGCAUGCGAAGGAGAGGGGGGAGCCCCUACAGGGAGCCUACACUUGCAGAUUAGGAGCCCUAGCAAGCCUAUUCAGGAGGCCGAGCUGCGUGCGGUUCUGCAGGGCUAAAUACCCCACCCUGUCCCCAGAAUCAUCAGCAGCCAGGAAUCGGAGAGGGGAUGAGGGGAUGGGAUGGCAAAGGUGAAGGAACAGUCGUGAACAUCUCUCUUCCCCUGGCCAAGUUCCCCUGCCAAAGCUGUUCGGGUUCCCCUUUGUCUUCCCUAAGCCCCCCUGCGAUAAUGACCAGCUGUGGGGGCGAAUGUGUAGAGGGCUUUCUGAGCCCCUGCAGAGAACUGAAUAAUAGGGCUUUGCAAACGAGGGGCUUUAAAAGUCCUUAAUCCCAAGAAAUUUAAUAAUAUUCACAAACACAAGUUUAAAUGAAAAACUUGAAAAGCAAAAAAUGUCUGCUACAUUAAUAAAGCAUUAGUGGACUGUAAUCAGGUUUUGAUUUAAUCUCUUUAGGAAGCCCUUAAUACUCUGCAUCAAAUACAAAGCUAAUCUUCUUGUUUCCUCUGAAACUCCACCUCAGCAAAUUGUUCAUCCAGCCGUGGAAAGAAAUUGAAGCCUCUUCAAAAUUUAUUAUGCCCACUGGCAGACCAGUUGAGGUUUUCAGAUCUUAUUUUAUAUUCUAUGCAUCUCACUUUGGACUCAAUGUGAUUCUUUUGUGGAUUAAACCGUCCUCUAUCAAUAGUCAUUUCUAAAUUUUGCAGCUUUGCAGGUUUUAAGCUGCAAAUUUUAAAAUACUUUUCCAGUUGUGACCCACAGAUAUUAUUUCUCUGCUUCCCCUUCCUGCCCCACCCCCAUCCCCCUCUUUUCCUCCUCUCAUGUCUCCCUAUAAUUUACAGACAUGCUGGGUCCACCUGGGCACAAGCUGAACACUGUGUGUCUCCCUCUUCUUUUGUGUCCGGGCCACAUUGCUCUUUCAUUCUGGCUCCCCAAGGCUUCCUUAGGGGAGCUGAUCUCAGAUUCCAGGCAUGGGCAUCUGUGUGCUUAGAAUCCACCCAUUUUCCUCUGCAAGCAGCAACAACUCUUUCCCUAUUUUUCAUUAUUUUUAAAAAAUAUUUUACUUAUUUAUUUGAGAGAGAGUGUGAGCAAAAGAGAGAGAGAGAGAGCAUGAGCCAGGAAGGGGGCCAAGGGAGAGGGAGAAGCAGACUCCCCCUUGAGCAGAGAGCCCCGAGGAGGACGAGGAUGCGGGGCUCAAUCCCAGGACUCCGGGGAUCAUGACCUGAGCCCAAGGCAGAUGCUCAACCCACUGAGCCACCCAGUCGCCUCCUAUUUUUCAUUAUUUUACGAAGUGUGCCAAUUUGCCUCUCUCUGAGCUGGGGGUAAAUAAAAUGCAUCACAAAAACUCUCCCACCCCCGUUACCCAAGAUAAAUAGAGAAUUUUAGAAAACUCUCAAUGACAAGACAGUUAUAUUCCCAUAACUAUGGCUACUUGGGCUAUUUCACGUGGCCUACUGCCUCAUGUUUGACGUGUUAUAGGGUUGCCAUUGAAAACUAUGCAGAAAAAAAAAAAAGAAAACUAUGCAGAAUUGUGGAAGCCACAUUUUUUUUAUCCUUUCAUGAAAAGGGACUGAUUCUGAGAAAUAGGUUGGAAUCUAACUCAGCUGAAAUAUCGUGAUCUUUAUAAAAUAUAUCAAAAGAUGUCUACAAAUUCGAGGAAACGGGGGUACACACUAAAAUCUGCAGUUUUAAUAACUACUGGAGCAGUAAAAGCCACUUAUAUUAAAUAUGUUAGGCAUUGUUUUCCACAACUGACAAGUUCCUUAUGCUUGUUAUUACAUUUCACAAUACUCCACAACUGUAGAUCACAUUAAAUUUUAUGUGUUCAUACGUAUUUUCUCACUUGUACCCACAACAGCCCCGUGAGGUAGGCAGAGCAAAUAUUAUUAUGCUUCCCAUUUUACAGAUGAGGAAACUGGGAAUGGGAUGAAGUUUACCCAACUAGUCAGUAGUGGGGGUGAUGCAUCCCAGUUCUCUGCCUUCCUGUUCAACAUGGGUGUUGCCAGUAAAUACCACUGGGGUAAACUCGAAUUCUCUGCCAUUCGGUAAUAAAGACGUUCACCUUCUGGAUAAACUGGAUAGAAUUACAACAGGGAACUACCUGACCCUUAACCGAGAAGCAGAGGGAAGAGAAUGGGGCUGAACGUCCAGGGGAAGAGAUCUGUACCACCCCCGGGUCAACCGCUCACCUGCUGCCAUGAAAUCGCAACUAAAAUUUUGCUGCUUCAUGCUCUCGCCUUCUCUACACAAGAAACACAGGUUCCUGAAUAUUAAAAUAUGAAGCUCAUAGCCUUAAUACAGCUUCAUUAAGAGCAAAGCGAGGUAGUUUCUUCGGGAGUGGAAGUUAAUGCUCUGUGUUCCACGCCAGCUCUCUAUCUGCAUGUAAAACAGCAUGCACUGGUGCUUUAACUGCAUGAGGCAGUGCCAUCCGUCUACACUCUGCUCCCUACUACCAGGCCGGUGGCCAAAGAAGGGGAGGCAGAGUCCAGGGCAGGGAUGGGCCGUGGCCAAACAGGCCAGGAAACCAGAGGAACUUUGCUGCCCGUGGCCAGUUCUGCUUCUUCAAAAAGUUCUGCUCUUGGAGAAGGCGGCUGGGCAUGGCCGGUCCCCCCCACUGCGAGCUGCGAGAGACCUACAAUCGAAGCCAACACACCUGGUUUCACAGGCUCGCAAUUACUCUGCUGCUGUGCAUGAAGCCAGGCCAAGAUUCAGUGCAUUCCAACACAAUUCCUUAUUCAUCGGUCCAGAGAUUUCCAAGCUUUGAAAAAAUAUAAGACUCAGCUCAGCUCACCCUUUACCUAAAUAAAGCUUUCUUAUUGUACUCCUUAUUUCUCCUACUAAGAAAACUCCAAAAAAAAAAAAAAAAAACUCCAAUGCAGGGAAAAUGUAUUUCUCUUUCCUUUUUAAAAUGAAUUCAGGGGGAUCCCUGGGUGGCUCAGCGGUUUAGCUCUUGCCUUUGGCCCAGGACGUGAUCCUGAGGAUCCGGGAUCGAGUCCCACAUCGGGCUCCCUGCAUGGAGCCUGCUUCUCUGUGUCUCUGUCUCUGUCUCUCAUGAAUAAAUAAAUAAAAUAGUAAAAAUAAAUAAAAUAAAAUGAAUUCAGUUUUGUGUGACGCUUACAUGCUUUCUUCAGAACACUUCAGGGAGGGCAAAGGCAAGGAAUGAGAUUCGAGACUAUAGGAACACCAGUCCCCAGAAGAGAGGGAGAAAGAGCAGUCAAUGUAGUGAAGGCCAAGGAGGUGCGUGGGGCGGGGGGCGCAGAGUAAGUCAUUGUGAAUAUGGUACCAUGCAAGCAAAACCUUCACCCACAUGUUCUUCUUUCCAGAAAGUUCCUCACGCUAAAUAGUGUGUUCUACUAUGUCCAUAAAUACAUUUGGCUCUCAGACCUCGUGUUGUAAGAUAACCAUUGCACGGAGCAUUGAUUACAUAAUUUUAAGUGAGUGAUUACUGUGAUGUGUGCUGAUUAUAUAAACAGGAAUGUGAACAUGCUCAAAAAGUAGUACCACACUGGAUCCUGCUUUCGUUCAUUUAUAUGAAGCAGAAAUCGGCAACAUCACAUCUUUAUGUUCCGCCAGGGAUUAGUUUGGAGGGAAUUAGGUAGAGAACAUACCACACUUUGCAGCCUAUGCAGUGAACAAACUUAUUAGCUAAAAUCUAGAGGAAGAAAAAAAAAUCAAAUUGCUCUAUUUUUAGUGACGGAGUCCUGUCUUCCUCUCCUUUGCAGGUAACGCUGUUCCUUCCUAGGACUGGGAGGGGGACAUAAGAGGAAAGGAAAGUUUCAAGCUCACUCCUGCUCCAUUGUGAGCCACGCGUGUGAUUAACACAAUUCCUCAACCACAUUUCAGGUUCACUGUUCCAUAUGUUCCCAGGUUCCAGACUCCAUAUGAAAUGAUAUGUACAUAAAUGAGGGAUGUGUCGAAGGAAAAUAGAUACUAAAGCUCUUAAAAGACAAUACACCAGAUAGCUUUCUACCUUUAACUUUGUUCCUCCCUGGAACACCUGGGUGGCUCAGCAAUUGAGCAUCUGCCUUUGGCUCAGGUUGUGAUCCCAGGGCCCUGGGAUCGAAUCCUGCAUCGGGCUCCCUGCAGGGAACCUGCUUCUCCCUCUGCCUGUGUCCCUGCCUCUCUCUCUGUAUCUCAUGAAUAAAUAAAUUAAAUCUUAAAAAAAAAAAAACCUUUGUUCCUCCCUAUGCCACCAUGACCUAACGUUCAGUGAGGGAAAUACUCCUGGUCAGAAGCAUCAGCUACCCCCGUAUUUCUUUAAAAAAAAAAGAUUUUAUUUUUAUUUAUGAGAGAGCACGCAUGAGCAGGGGGAGGAGGAGAGGGAGAAGGAAAAGCAGACUCCACACUGAGCACAGAGCCUGAUGCGGGGCUCAAUCCUGGGACCCUGAAAUCCUGACCUGAGCUGAAACCAAGAGUCGGACGCUUAACUGACUGAACGCCCCCACCCCAGGGGCCCUAUCGCUGUAGUUCUUAGGGAAGCAGGUUUCAGGCUUCUCUAAGGUGAAUUUAGACUGUCUGCAAAGUCUGAGUGAGUCAACACUCUGACUAUAAAUGCCAUGUGGCCAAUAGAGAGAUCAGACUGUGCAAGACUUCAGUACCCCAGGGAGGGGGUCCCCUGACCUUUGGUUCCUGGUCGAGAAGGACAAAACAAGGGGAACAGGGGCCCAAACUGUCAAAUGGGCAAUGCCAGAGAGAGACGAACCUUGGCAAAGAGAAGAGUCCAGGAACUGUCUUCAGUGAUCAACGGGGCCAUAUGUCAGCAGGAGGCGACUUGCCUCGAGUUCAGAACGUGCAUCCCAGGGAGGCAGACUGCAUCCAACAUGAGGCCAAGCUAUAAACAUGGCCAGACACUGAACAGGCUGCCUCAGAAAACAUGGCAUUCCCCCUUCCUGGAGAUGUUCAGGCCAAGGAAGGAGAAACUAUUUAUUGCAGAUUUCAAAAUGGAGAUACAAGGACUGAACUAAAUGGCCUUUAAGGGUUCUCCGCAAUUCAGAGACUAUAUUAUCAUCUUCCCUUCUCUGGUCCUCAACCUCAACUGGGGUCCUAAGAGAAACACUGGAAAUCUUCCUAUAUUACAAAUGAGAUCUUUGCUGAGCUCCCAACUUACCUUCGCCAAUGGGUACGGCCUCUCUUAGUUGGUCUGGGAACACAGUAGGGGUUUCAGGCCGUGCUACAGGGAGCUCAAAAAAGCUCUUAUCCCUGGGGGCCUGGAGGGGCUCAGUCAGUUGAGCAUCUGACUCUUCAUUUCAGCUCAGGUCAUGAUCACAGGGUCAUGAGCUCGAGCCCCACAUUGGGUUCUGUACUGUUCGUGGAGCCUGCUUAAGCUUCUCUCUCUCCCUCUCCCUCUGCCCCUCUCCUUUCUCUCUCCCUCCCUAACAAAGUUCUCUUAUUCCAACCUGAGUAGAGCUUAACCUAAGUCAGUUACAGACACCUACACAGACAACCUGCAUCCAACUAGUUCAUGAAGUCCCCACGGAACCCCCCAACUCCUCACCCUCUCACAUGCAGGCAUCUUUGUGCCUGCACCCAGACCUCUAUGUGCCACAGCCAACUCCCUUUCGCAGGCUCCCUUGUGAUGAAAACCUCUCAAAAUGAACAUGCUCUUACAGUUGCCCAAUCGGCAUCCUUGUCCCUUGUCUCCAGUCCUGAUCUAGGUUGUCACACAACCUCCUCAAGCCAAGUUGUGAGGUAACUGGAAGGCUCAGAUCUGAACCAAGGGAUCACAGACCAGAUAUUGACUCUUUGCUUUUGGUUUAUCAGGUCUUCA